rnacentral:rRNA from 1 species
GAGGGGUAUAGGUUUUCGGACCUAGAGACCGGCGCACGGGUGCGUAACGCGUAUGCAAUCUACCUUUUACAGAGGGAUAGCCCAGAGAAAUUUGGAUUAAUACCUCAUAGUAUUACGACUCGGCAUCGAGAUGUAAUUAAAGUCACAACGGUAAAAGAUGAGCAUGCGUCCCAUUAGCUUGUUGGUAAGGUAACGGCUUACCAAGGCAACGAUGGGUAGGGGUCCUGAGAGGGAGAUCCCCCACACUGGUACUGAGACACGGACCAGACUCCUACGGGAGGCAGCAGUGAGGAAUAUUGGUCAAUGGGCGCAAGCCUGAACCAGCCAUGCCGCGUGCAGGAUGAAGCAUCUAUGGUGUGUAAACUGCUUUUGUACGAGAAGAAACACUCCUACGUGUAGGAGCUUGACGGUAUCGUAAGAAUAAGGACCGGCUAACUCCGUGCCAGCAGCCGCGGUAAUACGGAGGGUCCAAGCGUUAUCCGGAAUCAUUGGGUUUAAAGGGUCCGUAGGCGGUUUUGUAAGUCAGUGGUGAAAGCCCAUCGCUCAACGGUGGAACGGCCAUUGAUACUGCAAGACUUGAAUUAUUAGGAAGUAACUAGAAUAUGUAGUGUAGCGGUGAAAUGCUU